GACGAACGCUGGCGGCGUGCUUAACACAUGCCAGUCGAACGGUAAGGCCCUUCGGGGUACACGAGUGGCGAACGGGUGAGUAACGCGUGAGUAACCUGCCCUUCACUCUGGGAUAACAGUUGGAAACGGCUGCUAAUACCGGAUAUUCAGCUCCUGUCGCAUGGUGGGGGUUGGAAAGUUUUGGUGGUGGAGGAUGGGCUCGCGUCCUAUCAGCUUGUUGGUGGGGUGAUGGCCUACCAAGGCGUCGACGGGUAGCCGGCCUGAGAGGGCGACCGGCCACAUUGGGACUGAGAUACGGCCCAAAGCCAGACGGGAGGCAGAAGGGGGAAAGAUUGCAGAAGGGGCGGAGGCCGGAGCCAGCAACGCCGGGGGGGGGAGGACGGCUUUCGGUUUGUAAACCGCUUUCAGCGGGGACGAAGCGCAAGUGACGGUACCUGAAAAAGAAGCACCGGCUAACUACGUG
rnacentral:rRNA from 1 species